UACGUAGGUGGCAAGCGUUGUCCGGAUUUAUUGGGGUUAAAGGGUGCGUAGGCGGCUUAAUAAGUCAGUGGUGAAAGCCGAUCGCUUAACGAUCGAACUGCCAUUGAUACUGCUAGGCUUGAGUAUAGUUGAGGUAGGCGGAAUUGACAGUGUAGCGGUGAAAUGCAUAGAUAUUGUCAAGAACACCAAUUGCGAAGGCGGCUUACUAAAGUAUAACUGACGCUGAGGCACGAAAGUGCGGGGAUCAAACAGG
rnacentral:rRNA from 1 species